GCCACCAUCCAUGUAAGUCGUGACUUGUUCCUCCUUGCCUUCUGCCAUGAUUGUGAGGCCUCCCCAGCCAUGUGGAACUGUAAGGCCAUGAAACCUCUUUUUCUUCCCAGUCUCAGCUGCUGCAGGUUCUUCAGCUGAUGGCUCACACCUGCAUCUUCUCCAGAGCCUUCUCCUUGAAGCCGCCUGGACUGAAGUUAUCUAGGAGUUACACCCACCCCUCAAGGCCUGCGACCAGUGACUUAUUUGCCUCAAAGAGGGACUGCAAAACCCCACACCCUUGCCUCAAAGAGGGACUGACUCUGUGCAACUUACUCUCCCAGGCUUUGUCCCUGCAGAUCAGGUUGAAGCUAGACUCCCCAGAAUCACAUCUUUGCCUGGCUUCUCUUCUGACCUGUCCUGACCUAUCCAGCUUCUCUCUCUCACCACUUUCUCCUGGGAGUGCUUACAAAAGUGUGUGCACGAAUCCCUGACUAGGUAGGGACUGAGAAUACCUCCCAAGACAAAGCUGCCUACGGUUGGGGGAAAAAAAAAGAUGACAAGCAUUUACUGAGUACCCAGACCACGCCAGGCACUGUCUUGGGCACCAUCCUCACACCAACACUGAUGAGGAACUGGAGGCUCAGGGAGGAUCCCUGUACCCUGUCCAAGAUCACCCAACUGGUCAGCGGGGAAACGAAGACUCAAACCCAGGCAGAAAGUCCAUGCUCUUAACCCCCCACCAUGGCUGUCGGUGAGUCCACCCAUCUGCCAAUUCCCAGCCCUAGCAAGCAAUGUGGGCUGUGCUAAGACGAUGGCAAGGGUUACUGGGGAUAACUUCAAACUGAGUACAAGUGCACUGUUCCAGUGUAGAAAGGGCUAUCUUCUGAGGUGGCCAGCUCUGCCACUGCAGGUGUUCAAAAAGAAGCCAGUGGCCACUUCACAGGCCUAUUAUGGAGAGAGCUGUAGAACUGAGAGAAGAGUCAGCCUGUGUGACCCUCAUGAUGCCGAGCUCUUGUGAGUUCAGGUCCUUAGAACGUGUGCGCUCAGCUCAAGGUUAAAGAGUGGCAUUGUAAAUAGCUCAUUGCAGAGUAAUUUAUGUCAUCACCCAAAAGGAGA
rnacentral:lncRNA from 1 species